rnacentral:rRNA from 1 species
AUUGAACGCUGGCGGCAGGCCUAACACAUGCAAGUCGAGCGGAUGAAGGGAGCUUGCUCCUGGAUUCAGCGGCGGACGGGUGAGUAAUGCCUAGGAAUCUGCCUGGUAGUGGGGGAUAACGUCCGGAAACGGGCGCUAAUACCGCAUACGUCCUGAGGGAGAAAGUGGGGGAUCUUCGGACCUCACGCUAUCAGAUGAGCCUAGGUCGGAUUAGCUAGUUGGUGGGGUAAAGGCCUACCAAGGCGACGAUCCGUAACUGGUCUGAGAGGAUGAUCAGUCACACUGGAACUGAGACACGGUCCAGACUCCUACGGGAGGCAGCAGUGGGGAAUAUUGGACAAUGGGCGAAAGCCUGAACCAGCCAUGCCGCGUGUGUGAAGAAGGUCUUCGGAUUGUAAAGCACUUUAAGUUGGGAGGAAGGGCAGUAAGUUAAUACCUUGCUGUUUUGACGUUACAAACAGAAUAAGCACCGGCUAACUUCGUG